CAAACUUCAACUGCCAUCUUCAUGUUCUCUGGUAUAUUGUACAGAACCUCAACCCUUCAGUGUAUUGACACAAGAUGAGAGCAGCAUCACUCUGCAGUGGAACAAGACCAGCACCAGCUUUGUUCUCCAGUUUAACGGCACAGAGAUAAACAUCAGAGCACCAGAUGGAGAUGGACCAGUGAUCUACACAGUUUCAUCUCUCACUGCUGGAACCAAAUACACAUUCACUCUCUUCUCUGUGUUUGAGAACGUCAGAAGCAGUGGAGGACAACUGACAGCUGUCACAGCUCCUCAAAAUGCAGAAGGAUUUACAAAGUCGGGACAAUAUAAGAGCAGCAUCACCCUGCAGUGGAAUAAAAUCAAC